AUGGGUUGCAGGCACUCCAAAGUGGAGGACGAGGAGGCGGUGAGGAGAUGCAGGGACAGGAGGAACCUCAUGAAGCAGCUCGUGCGCCGCCGUGUCGACCUUGCAGCCGCACACAUCACCUACCUGCAUGCACUCCGCAACACAGGAGCCACUCUCCGCCAAUUCGCCGAGGUGGAGACUGCAUCGUCACACCAGUCCCUUCCAGUCGUUGCCUCACCACCUCCUCCCCCUCCGCCGCCGCCGCCACCACCACCGCCUCCGGCAUACUCUGUGACUUCUUCCAUGCCACCAUACUCGGUGACAUCCUCAAUGCCGCCAUCACCACUCCCCCCACCACUCAUACCGUUUAGUCCGAUAAGGAUAAGAAAGAGGGAGAAGAGAGAUGGUGAUCUCGACGGGGAUGAUUCCACGGAUGAAGACGACGACACUGACAGCUGCUCGACGCCUCUGCCCCCGCCGCCGCCGCCCGGUAUGGAGUGGGAGUACACGGACCCAAUCACUAUGCGUCCCUUGGAUUUUCUUCCAUCUUCGUUGGCUGAUCGGGACGAUAAAGAAAUGGCCUCACAGGUCAGCAUGGAUGACGAUUGGGUGGAAACGAACAUAGAAUUUGAUGGACAGGAUCAAAGUGUCUCUGGCAAUGCUGAUGGCAUACUUAGGCGUGUGGAAUUGCAUCCAGCAAAGAGUAGGGUUAUGGGUGAUGAAAACUCAUCGAUGAUGAGCAGCUGGGUAACAAAGGACUCGAACUCUUCGGUGAUGGCCUGGGCGACUGACAAGUCACUGGUAGAAAUAGCCAAGGAGAUUGAUGAGUACUUCUUGAAAGCAGCCGCAAGUGGGACUGAUGUUGUUAUACUUUUGGAUUCUGCUACCGGCCGGCUAGAUCCCUCAGAGGUGCAAGUAAAGAAAGGAAAAAAUUCGAAGUCUGCCAAGGUUUUCUCUACACUUUCCUGGAGCUGGUCAUUCAAGUCUGUACAUGCUAACAGAGAAUCCUCAACUGAUGCUUGUGGAUACGGUUAUCAUGGCAAAACACUAGAUAAGCUUUAUGACGAGGAGCAAAAACUCUAUCAGUUAGUUAAGGAUGAAGAAUUUGCAAGGCUUGAAUACAGAAAGUACAGUUCAUUGCUAAAGAAGCUAGAAUCAGGGGAGCAUGAUAGGUUGCAGGCAGAGAAAGUUCGGGAAAAUAUCGAAGAACUGCAAACUCGGAUAAUGUCCUUAGAGGAAGCUGUAAGCUUGACAUGUUUGACCAUAUCAAAGAUCAGGGAUGAGGAGUUAUAUCCUCAGGUUAUUGAAUUAGCUGCAGGACUUGUGCAUAUGUGGAGAAACAUGUACGAGUGCCAUGAGGUUCAGAACCAUAUUGCCCAGCAAGCCAGUCUCCUUGGCAACCAACCUGGCAGUGAGCCGACAACUGACUCCCAUUGCUAUGCAACAUCUCAGUUGGAAGGCGAAGUCUCUGCAUGGCACAAUUCCUUCUGCAAUCUGAUCACCUUGCAGCGUGAGUACGUAACCAUCCUUAACGAAUGGAUUGGACUCACUGAUUGCCUGCCUGAUAAUGAAGGCUUCAUGAGAAGUUCAUCUGGAAUCCGUAGCCUCUGUGGGGAACUUGAGCACGCUCUUAAGAAGUUACCUGAGAAGGUAGCAGCAGAAGCAAUAAAAGCUUUUCUGUCAGUCAUACACUCUAUCGUGUUACAGCAGGCUGAGGAGCGUCAGCUGAAGAAGAAAUCAGACAACAUCGAGAGCAAGUUCCACGCCCAGCUGGAGAAACACAGCGAAAACGCAAUGCAGAGCUCAAGCCAGGGUUCGCACGCCAGGAGCUACUCAGUAUCGAAGGACGACCCGAAGCUGGACGUGUUCAGAAAGAAGGUCGAGGAGGAGAAGGCCAGGUACAUCAACUCCUUGAGGACCAGUCGAGCCAUGACGCUGAACCAUCUUCAGACGAGCCUUCCAAACGUGUUCCAUGCCCUGACGGGGUUCUCAGGAGUCUGCUUGCAGGCGUUUGAAGGCAUCAGCCGAUGCAGCGAGGCUGCUGCUGCUGCUGCUGCUAGCCACUCGGGAGCGGCUUCGCCCGCCGUCUCUUCCUGUGAUGAUCACCCGCUGUAA
rnacentral:rRNA from 1 species